rnacentral:tRNA from 1 species
GCGGGGGUCGCCUAGCCUGGUCAAAGUUUAGACUAAUGGCGGCAGGCUCAAGACCUGCUGGCGUAGAGCCUUCGUGGGUUCAAAUCCCACCCCCCGCA